rnacentral:rRNA from 1 species
UCGGGAAUCUUCCGCAAUGGACGCAAGUCUGACGGAGCAACGCCGCGUGAGUGAAGAAGGAUUUCGGUUCGUAAAACUCUGUUGUUAGCGAAGAACAGCGCAUAGAGUAACUGUUAUGCGUGUGACGGUAUCUAACCAGAAAGCCACGGCUAACUACGUGCCAGCAGCCGCGGUAAUACGUAGGUGGCAAGCGUUGUCCGGAUUUAUUGGGCGUAAAGCGAGCGCAGGCGGUCAAUUAAGUCUGAUGUGAAAGCCCCCGGCUCAACCGGGGAGGGUCAUUGGAAACUGGUUGACUUGAGUGCAGAAGAGGAGAGUGGAAUUCCAUGUGUAGCGGUAAAAUGCGUAGAUAGAUGGAGGAACACCAGUGGCGAAGGCGACUCUCUGGUCUGUAACUGACGCUGAGGCUCGAAAGCGUGGGUAGCAAACAGG